rnacentral:tRNA from 1 species
GAGGGGGGUUCAACCAACAAGAACUGCUAAUUCUUGCAUCUGAGCCUAAAAUCUCAGCCCCCUUG